GGGGCAGUAAGGGUUUUGACGGGGAGUUGUGGUUGCGCAAGUUGCGAGCCGAGGGUGCUACAAGCCUCGUAAAACACGGUAGCCAACGUCACAAAUGCAGACGUAAAACAAGCUAUGCAAGGCGUCCAGUGGAUGGUUUCAAGAACUAGUUUCUUGGCCGCCAAUGACAACGCUUUUGCACUCGCCUCUUAAUUAAAUAAGUGGCGCGUCUUCCGGGUCCGCCGUUAGGUCCGGGUCAAGACGCCAUUAUGACGGAUGCGUAAUCUUUCUUUUCCGGUUGGGAGGUUACAAAGUAAAAGACAUCGGAUAGUCCGGGA
rnacentral:tmRNA from 1 species